rnacentral:rRNA from 1 species
UGCGUAGGCGGAUUAAUAAGUCAGUGGUGAAAACCUGCAGCUUAACUGCAGACCUGCCAUUGAUACUGUUAGUCUUGAGUACGGUCAAGGUAGGCGGAAUGUGUAAUGUAGCGGUGAAAUGCUUAGAUAUUACACAGAACACCGAUUGCGAAGGCAGCUUACUGGGCCAUUACUGACGCUGAGGCACGAAAGCGUGGGAGCGAACAGGAUUAGAUACCCUGGUAGUCC